AUUAUUGGAAGUAAGCUAAUUAAUUUAGCUUAAAUAUGCAAUGUAAUGCACAGGUAAACAGUGAAAAUAACUUUCAUAUAACGUGAAUAAACUAGUACAAACACGUUUUAUCUUAAACAUAUAUAGACAAAAAGUUGUUCUUUUAUUUUAGGAGUGACAAAAUAACCUCUAUAAUAGAAGAAAAGUUGAAGAUUUCAACAUUUUCUGAAGGGUGCUACAGACAGAGAUGUAAACUCAGGCAAGUUGAGAGCAUAUUAACUCACUUUAUAUGCACUUUUUUCACAACAUAUUACCAUGCAUCUUGUCAUUUUUCUGCGUUUAUUGCAGUUAUUCUAGGAAGGUUUUAACAUCCAAACAUUUUCCAUGCUGAUAUCUGUGCAGCAGAGUUGAAGCAGACCUGUCAGAAAACAUCUCUAAGGUGCUAUGAAUCUCAUAACUAAACUCAUCGAUCUGAAAUGCGCUGGUUCCCUGAUUGGCCAGCUAAUCUGUACGUUGUGAUUGGCCUGAAUGCCUCUGACGUCAGCCGGAAAUGUGACGCUCCUGUUUGAAAGAUUUGGUCACAAUGCAAUGCUGACAGGAGUUAAUGUGAAGGCUGAUACACAUCAUAAGAUAACUAGAGCUUACGGCUCUGUUUGGAUCCAGUCUCACUUUUGAAGACUUCAGAUGACGUUAACACUCACAAGGACAUUAUAUGAUGGCAUCUAUAGAUGGACAUACACAACUGGCAAAUGUAAUAUAUUGUAAUUACUGCACCAAAGCGCAACUCUGCAGAUUUUCAACUCGCUUAAU